UGAGGAAUAUUGGACAAUGGGCGCAAGCCUGAUCCAGCCAUGCCGCGUGCAGGAUGACGGUCCUAUGGAUUGUAAACUGCUUUUGCACAGGAAGAAACACCCCUACGUGUAGGGUCUUGACGGUACUGUGAGAAUAAGGAUCGGCUAACUCCGUG
rnacentral:rRNA from 1 species